AUGGCGCCAUCCAAGUCCCAUCUCGCCAGCUUGUUCCUCGCCGUCGUUCUGAUCGCCGCCAUGCCGGAGACUUCGGCGGCAGCCGUCACGGCCAGGGCCCCCGCUCCCUCCACCAACAGCGACUUAGUAGCGAAACCAUCAUCUUGGUCAUGGUGCAUCAUCCCUUGCUUUUCGUUUAUACCAGAGAUAUUUUGUAUACCACCCAUAUUCUGUCCACGGCCGCCGCCACCACCUCCUCGACCUCCGCCGCCUCCGUCCCCGUCGAACCACAGCCGAAGGAGUGCCGGACGCCGCUGA
rnacentral:rRNA from 1 species